rnacentral:rRNA from 1 species
CAGCCGCCGCGGUAAUACGUAGGUGGCAAGCGUUGUCCGGAAUGAUUGGGCGUAAAGGGCUCGCAGGCGGUUUCUUAAGUCUGAUGUGAAAGCCCCCGGCUCAACCGGGGAGGGUCAUUGGAAACUGGGAAACUUGAGUGCAGAAGAGGAGAGUGGAAUUCCACGUGUAGCGGUGAAAUGCGUAGAGAUGUGGAGGAACACCAGUGGCGAAGGCGACUCUCUGGUCUGUAACUGACGCUGAGGAGCGAAAGCGUGGGGAGCGAACAGGAUUAGAUACCCCCGUAGUCCCUGUCUCUUAUAC